rnacentral:rRNA from 1 species
UACGUAGGGUGCGAGCGUUGUCCGGAAUUACUGGGCGUAAAGAGCUCGUAGGUGGUUUGUCGCGUUGUUCGUGAAAACUCACAGCUUAACUGUGGGCGUGCGGGCGAUACGGGCAGACUGGAGUACUGCAGGGGAGACUGGAAUUCCUGGUGUAGCGGUGGAAUGCGCAGAUAUCAGGAGGAACACCGGUGGCGAAGGCGGGUCUCUGGGCAGUAACUGACGCUGAGGAGCGAAAGCGUGGGGAGCGAACCGG